AGCUCCCAUAGGCCCCGGGGCCCGCUUCUGUCACUUCCCUGCAGCUCCGCUAGGGCCCCGGGCCGCUUCAGUCACUUCCCCGCGGCUCCCAUAGGCCCCCGGGCCGCUUCAGUCACUUCCCCAGCUCCCAUAGGCCCCCGGGGCCCUCGGACGGGCCUCCCCCAAGCUUCAAGCCCAAGCGGCCGGAGCCGCUCGCAGCUCCCGUGGCCCGGGAGGCGCUUCCUUCCCUUCCCGUUGCCUCUCCCGGUGGCACCUGGCCCAAGCUUCUCCGUGGUCCCCAGCAGGGUCCCUGCCCCAAGAAGCUCCAGAUGGGGAGACUGAGGCUGAUUCCCCCGCAGCACCCAACGUGACCGGGAGGCCGGUUUCUGAGGUUGCUUUCUGCUUUGCUCCCAGACGGAGCGGGGACUCACCCCGUGGGCCGGCGCACACUGUUCUGGCCCCACUUUCAUAGGCUCUCGAAGGCCUUGAGGGCUUCUGGCAGCUCCUAGUCCUAAGAUGCCCUGAGAUGUCACUGCACGCGGAAAUGUGUCAGGCUAGGACGUUCUGCCGUAUCCCAGGAGGAUCUGUGGGCCCGCAGCCUCGGCAAUAACGCUAGCCAGGAGCAUUUACGGAGAAUGUAAGCGCUGUGCAAGCAUCUCAUUUUCUCCUUACGCCGGCCCUGGAAAGAGAUGCUAUUUUAAUCCCCAUCUUGCAGAGGGGGCACUGAAGGAAACAGCUUCCUGCCGCUAGCCUCUUGGUGGGCAGGAACGGCACCUGGGUCCCACUUUGGGGCCAUUUCCCACCUGUGCAUGUGCCGCCUUCCUCCCCCAGAGGCCAGGGCCUGCCUGGGAAGCUGUGGGUGCCGAGCCCAGCCCCGCACAGAGGAAGCCACUAGGACACACGGCGUGGUUCACUCCUCCUCUUGGCUGGCUACCGCAGCCAGGCAGCACCUGCCUCCCUAGUGCAGCGCACUUGCCCGGGGAAGAGGUGGGCUUGUGCGCUCCGGUAAAAACCUGUUGCCCCCACAAUCUGCCCGUCUCCGCCCACUCGGGCACAAUCGCCGAAGUGGCCACUGGGGGGAGCUCCGGGGGACAGAGAGGCAGCUGAGGAGGGCCCGGGAGAAGGAGAGCCCAGCCCCAGCUGCAUGAAGUCCCUGGGAGGGGGCUGCCCUGGGAGCAGCCAGUGACGGCCCGAGCGGGGCGGCCCCGAGCUGCUGCUCCUCCCCGGCCCACGGAGAUCGCGGGGCGCUCUCUGCUAACUCAUCUUAGGUUCGGCUUUGUGGAGGUGGGCCGGAAACGGGGGGGGGGGGAAGACCAACAAAGGCUUCAGAAAGCACCGCUUUGAGGAAGUUGCGCCAGCCUUGGCCGUGGAGAUGUGCCUCCCGCCAGGAGCCAACCCGCCGUCUCCCGGGCGGCCUGGCCGGGGUGCGCGGCCCCUCGGGCUUUUCCUGGCGGGCAGCAGAGGCGGGUGGGGAAUGGGGGCAGCCUCCGGAGCCACUGCCAGUAUUCUAAAUCAGUGAUCUUUGGCCGGGGCCAAGCACGUUAUGGAAGAAGGCAGCACCGAGGACUUGUUCUCCAUCUAAUGAAGCCAGAAGACAGAAAAGGUGACAGUACCUCCGAAGAGGGUUUGUCAGUCCUGCAGAGGAGACUGCAGGAGGUUUCUUUUUGUACUCCAGGACACUAACCCACCUCACGAGGCAUUGAGCAGCAUCAGAAGUCAGACCACUCUGGGAUCACCUUCUUUUGGACUUAAGGAGUUGGUUUACUGAUGUCCUUCCUGAGCUGUGGCCCCUAAAACUGAGCCACAUCCUCUGGGAAGAUAUGGCUCUGAGUGGGGCAGGAAGCAGGGGGACUUCCAUAUUGAGCUUGUGGAACACUCAACCCUAAGAUCUUUUUUCUUUCUUUUUUUCAUAUGAACUCCUGAUUAGACAUGUCUGCAUCUUCUACACAUCAGUUGCCAGUGUUGUGGUGAAUAUUCAGUCUGGUCAAUCUGAGCUGCUCAGCCCAAAGGAGAGGAAAUACUGGUUUUCUUUAACUGAUAAUUUGGUCAGAGACCAAAAGCCACUCUCCACACAGAUAAUGGGAUGAGGAUGGAGUCCCAUGCUUUCCUCCCCCCAGCCUCCUCACACGCCCCAAUCAGAGCCUCCACCCUGAAUUCAUAGCCUUUGUUGGUGUGUUCUAUUCAUUAGCGAUUAGAUCAGUCAAAGUCUUAUAUCUUGUUACAUUUGCCAUCACACUAGAGCCACAUAGAAGGAUUUACGUGAUCCAUUCCUGAGCUUGAUUUGGGACCCUACAGCUAACCUUUCUCUAGUGCUUCCUCUGGGCUUCAAGUAUUAUACUAAGCCUGAGGCUUACUAAGGAAGGAGAAGACAGUCCCUUUCCUCUAGGAUCCCACAAUCAUUGUGUCUGCUAACGGGCCAGGAUGGGUCAGAGUCAGGAUACACAGCCCAAGAUUAUAUAACCAAGAAAUGGUAAAGUCAAGAGUGAGACUGCGCCCUGUUGGGAUGAAACUGACUCAGCGAGGCAGAAUGGGGAAUGGUGGGGAACCCUGGGGAGAAGGUCCUGGGUGACUAUAGCUUGCUGUCCUUGGGGGCAGAGGUCUCAAGUAGAAACCCCUAGAGAUUGAGGGAAGUUUGACAUUUGGAAACAGGCAUUGGCAGCAUGCUGAUCGAGUUUGCAUGUGAAACAGGACUGGAUGAGAUAUGUUUGGUGGCCAAAUCUGGAUCCAAAAAGAUCUCAGCGGCACAAAACAUUAGACUAAAUCUACUAAGAUAUAAUUUAGUGGGGGGAAAUGACAAAGUUCAUACCUAGAUGUCUAAGAUUUGAUUUAUAGUAUAUAGAGAAGUGUGGUCAGCCAGUACUUUCACCUGAAAAAUAGAUCUGGGUGUUUAAUGGACCCCAAGCUCAAUGGGUGUCAACAAUGGGAGCUACAACAAAGAGCUAAUGUGAUAGAGAUCAGAGUAAAAGAGAAGUCACACCCAGAAUGAGGGAGGUGAGCAGAUCAGUUGUAGGCACCCGUUUAGGAAGGAUCCUGAUCAGUUAAACAUUCAAUGGAAAGACACUGACUGGCUUUGGCUAAUUUUUCCAGCUGGGUUUUGUACCAUUUCCUGGGACCCUCUGGUUCCUUAGAUCUUAGAGUGGGGAGGAUGCUUGGCCCUCUGGCCCUAUUGGCUCUCCCAGGGCUCUCCAGUUCUGGGCCGGGAGUGCACAUUUAGCCCAGUAGAAGGAUAUCCAUACCUCCCUAAUAGAGCUGGAUGGGUCCCGUGGGGCCGGUUCCCUGCACUGAGUAAAUACAUGCUUGGAUCAGCUUAGUGCACACAGACGUGGCAAUGACUCCUUGUUUUUCCAGUUGUCCAGGUGAAAUUCACCUGUGCCACUUUAUAAAGCCCAACAGACCACAAUGGCUCGUUUGUUUGGAGCAACGGUUAGGGUCUAGUGUUUACCACAAGAAUGGGAGGCUAAUCCUACCAGGCUAUCCAUGAACAGAAAAUAAAUAUACUCAUAGUGACCUUUCA